CCUAACACAUGCAAGUCGAAGGAGAAGCCACCUUCGGGUGGUGGAAACUGGCGCACGGGUGAGUAACGCGUGGGAAUCUGCCUCGGGGUGGGGAAUAACCGCUGGAAACGGCGGCUAAUACCGCAUACGCCCUACGGGGGAAAGCUCCGGCGCCCUGAGAGGAGCCCGCGUUGGAUUAGCUUGUUGGUGGGGUAAUGGCCCACCAAGGCUACGAUCUAUAGCUGGUCUGAGAGGAUGAUCAGCCACACUGGGACUGAGACACGGCCCAGACUCCUACGGGAGGCAGCAGUGGGGAAUAUUGGACAAGUGGGCGCAAGCCUGAUCCAGCCAUGGCCGCGUGAGUGAAGAAGGCCUUAGGGUUGUAAAGCUCUUUCACCUGCGAAGAUGAUGACGGUAGCAGGAGAAGAAGCCCCGGCUAACUCCGUG
rnacentral:rRNA from 1 species